GGAUCGAUAGCUCAGUGGGAGAGCACGACCCUGAAACGGUCGCGUGCCUCGGUUCGAAUCCGAGUCGAUCCA
rnacentral:tRNA from 1 species